AGCGAACGCUGGCGGCAGGCCUAACACAUGCAAGUCGAACGAACUCUUCGGAGUUAGUGGCGGACGGGUGAGUAACACGUGGGAACGUGCCUUUUGGUUCGGAAUACCUCAGGGAAACUUGUGCUAAUACCGAAUGUGCUCUUCGGGGGAAAGAUUUAUCGCCAUUAGAGCGGCCCGCGUCUGAUUAGCUAGUUGGUGAGGUAACGGCGCACCAAGGCGACGAUCAGUAGCUGGUCUGAGAGGAUGACCAGCCACACUGGGACUGGGACACGGCCCAGACUCCUGCGGGAGGCAGCAGUGGGGAAUCUUGCGCAAUGGGCGAAAGCCUGACGCAGCCAUGCCGCGUGAAUGAUGAAGGUCUUAGGAUUGUAAAAUUCUUUCACCGGGGACGAUAAUGACGGUACCCGGAGAAGAAGCCCCGGCUAACUUCGUG
rnacentral:rRNA from 1 species